AGUGAACGCUGGCGGUAGGCCUAACACAUGCAAGUCGAACGGCAGCACAGUAAGAGCUUGCUCUUACGGGUGGCGAGUGGCGGACGGGUGAGGAAUACAUCGGAAUCUACUUUUUCGUGGGGGAUAACGUAGGGAAACUUACGCUAAUACCGCAUACGACCUACGGGUGAAAGCAGGGGAUCUUCGGACCUUUCGCGAUUGAAUGAGCCGAUGUCGGAUUAGCUAGUUGGCGGGGUAAAGGCCCACCAAGGCGACGAUCCGUAGCUGGUCUGAGAGGAUGAUCAGCCACACUGGAACUGAGACACGGUCCAGACUCCUACGGGAGGCAGCAGUGGGGAAUAUUGGACAAUGGGCGCAAGCCUGAUCCAGCUAUACCGCGUGGGUGAAGAAGGCCUUCGGGUUGUAAAGCCCUUUUGUUGGGAAAGAAAAGCAGCAGGUUAAUACCCCGCUGUUCUGACGGUACCCAAAGAAUAAGCACCGGCUAACUUCGUG
rnacentral:rRNA from 1 species